AAGAAAGGAAACAUGAAAACAAAUAUGGGUUGCCAAAUGGAAAGUGUAAAAAAUGUUCUGACGAAGAAAAUAACCAUCGCAUCGUUCAAUAUAAAAUUGCAAUAAACGGACACUUUAAAAUUGAGAUUGGUUGAGCAGAAUAAUACAUGGCCAUGCGUGCUGCAGAGAAAGGUAGUGAUUUUAAUUUGUAAAAGAUGAGCUA